GCGUUUCUCUGACCUCUGCAGACGGAGUGCGGUCCUGAACUCCAGUAAAAUGGUUCCUCCAGUGCAAGUGUCGCCGCUGAUUAAGACAGCCAGGUGGUCUGCAUUGCUCGUUGGUAUCAUUUACGGAAAGCGCAGAUAUGAUAAUCUGAAACCAAUUGCAGAGGAGGAGAGGAGAAUAGAAGAGGAGGAGAAGAAGGUACGAGAGGAGAAGGAACGCAUUGCUAAACAGCUAGCAGAAGCUAAUGAGGACACAAUCUUGAAGUGAGCUGCCCGAAAUGAUGCCUGUAUCGUUUAUAUAUUGUAAAGAUAUUGUUACCUGUCUGGAUAAAGAAUGCUUGUAUUCUGCCACUUGGUUUUACAGUGCUGUUUCACACCUUUCACUGUUUUCUAAUAGAUCAUGUUAGAAUAAUGCCUCAUUUGUGAAAUAAUAACUGAAUACAUGUAUAAAUUUCCUCUGAUCUGACACUGUUUAUUCUUUCAUUGAAGAACCUCUGAUAAUAAUGUGAUGCAGAUGUAAAACAAGCAAUGUAAUGUUCAAUAUACCCCGAAUCAGAGUUCCACUUUGGUAAGCGUCCACACCAAUAUUUAUUAAUAAACUGUUAAUCCCUA